GCAGGAUAGCUCAGCCAGUAGAGCAUGAGACUCUUAAUUUCAGGGUUGUGGGUUCGAGCCCCACAUUGGGCA